rfam:Triticum aestivum genome assembly, contig: Triticum_aestivum_CS42_TGACv1_scaffold_577009_7BL
CAAGUACUCCCUCCGUCCCGAAUUACUUGUCGGAGAAUUGAAUGUAUCUAGACGUAUUUUUAGUUCUAGAUACAUCCGUUUCUACCCAUUUCUGCGACAAGUAAUUCAGGACGGAGGGAGUAUAUG